CCUACGGGAGGCAGCAGUGGGGAAUAUUGGGCAAUGGGCGCAAGCCUGACCCAGCAACGCCGCGUGAGGGAAGAAGGCUUUCGGGUUGUAAACUUCUUUUAUCAGGGACGAAGCAAGUGACGGUACCUGAUGAAUAAGCCACGGCUAACUACGUGCCGGCAGCCGCGGUAAUACGGAGGUGGCAAGCGUUAUCCGGAUUUACUGGGUGUAAAGGGUGUGUAGGCGGGAGUGCAAGUCAGAUGUGAAAACCAUGGGCUCAACCCAUAGCCUGCAUUUGAAACUGUACUUCUUGAGUGAUGGAGAGGCAAUCGGAAUUCCGGGUGUAGCGGUGAAAUGCGUAGAUAUACGGAGGAACACCAGUGGCGAAGGCGGAUUGCUGGACAUUAACUGACGCUGAGGCGCGAAAGCGAGGGGAGCAAACAGGAUUAGAUACCCGUGUAGUC
rnacentral:rRNA from 1 species